rnacentral:rRNA from 1 species
GAUGAACGCUGGCGGCGUGCUUAACACAUGCAAGUCGAACGAAGAACCUCUCCCGUAGCUCGACUCAGCUUGCUGUCGAAUGAUUCAUUUGAGGUGACUGAGUGGCGGUCGGGUGCGUAACGCGCGGGUAACCUGCCUCAUAGAGGGGGACAACAGUAGGAAACGACUGCUAUUAACACAUAGUAAGAAGUAUUCGCAUGUUUUCUUAUUGAAAGAUUUCUCGCUAUGUGAUGGAUCCGCGUCGGAUUAGCUAGUUGGAAAGGUAACGGCUUACCAAGGCGACGAUCAGUAGCCGGCAUGAGAGAGUGAACGGCCACAUUGGGACUGGGACACGGCCCAAACUCCUACGGGAGGCAGCAGUGGGGAAUAGUGCACAAUGGGGGAAACCCUGAUGCAGCGACGCCGCGAGAGUUAAGAAGUAUUGCAGUAUGUAAUGCGCUAGCAGCAAGGAAGAUAAUGACGGUACCUGACUAAGAAGCCCCGGCUAACUACGUG